rnacentral:rRNA from 1 species
GAUGAACGCUAGCGGCAGGCCUAACACAUGCAAGUCGAGGGGCAGCACAGAAACAGCAAUGUUUCGGUGGCGACCGGCGGACGGGUGCGUAACGCGUAUGCAACCUACCUUUAACAGGGGGAUAACGGAGAGAAAUUUCCACUAAUACCCCAUAACAUCGAUCAAGGCAUCUUGAUUGGUUGAAAACUCCGGUGGUUAAAGAUGGGCAUGCGUUGUAUUAGGUAGUUGGUGAGGUAAUGGCUCACCAAGCCUACGAUACAUAGGGGGACUGAGAGGUUAGCCCCCCACACUGGUACUGAGACACGGACCAGACUCCUACGGGAGGCAGCAGUGAGGAAUAUUGGUCAAUGGGGGCAACCCUGAACCAGCCAUGCCGCGUGCAGGAAGACGGCUCUAUGAGUUGUAAACUGCUUUUAAACAGGGAUAAAGCACAGUAUGUAUACUGUGUUGAAGGUACUGUAAGAAUGAGGAUCGGCUAACUCCGUGCCAGCCGCCGCGGUAA